UCGUUGAACACUAUAUGUUUU
rnacentral:piRNA from 1 species